GACCUAAUGGUGUAAUUCUGCACACCUGCUCUCCAUUCUCCGAACACAAAUUUGCUCAGGCAGGAAGUCCCGGUUCGAAUCCGGGUUGGGUCA